rnacentral:rRNA from 3 species
GGUUGAUCCUGCCAGUAGUCAUAUGCUUGUCUCAAAGAUUAAGCCAUG